AGGACGAACGCUGGCGGCGUGCCUCAUACAUGCAAGUGGAGCGACGAACCCAGGAUUUAUCCUGGGGCAAAGCCGCGAACGGGUGAGUAACACGUGGGUUACCUGCCCCGAUGAUUGGGACAACCCGAGGAAACUCGGGCUAAUACCAAAUGUGCCCGUGGUUGUGAUGAUCACGAGGAAAGGAGCUUCGGCCUCCGCAUCGGGAUGGGCCCGCGGCCCAUUAGCUAGGUUGGUGGGGUAAAGGCCUACCAAGGCGACGAUGGGUAGCU
rnacentral:rRNA from 1 species